AGCAGCCGCGGUAAUUCCAGCUCCAAUAGCGUAUAUUAAAGUUGUUGCAGUUAAAAAGCUCGUAGUUGAAUUUCGGGGUCAGUAGGCUGGUCGUGCCACAGGUAUGUACUGGUCUCACUGAUUCCUCCUUCCUGAUGAACCGUAAUGCCAUUAAUUUGGUGUUGCGGGGGAUCUGGACUGUUACUUUGAAAAAAUUAGAGUGUUUAAAGCAGGCUAACGCUUGAAUACAUUAGCAUGGAAUAAUGAAAUAGGACGAUCGAUCCUAUUUUGUUGGUUUCUAGGAUUGACGUAAUGAUUAAUAGGGAUAGUUGGGGGCAUUAGUAUUCAAUUGUCAGAGGUGAAAUUCUUGGAUUUAUUGAAGACUAACUACUGCGAAAGCAUUUGCCAAGGAUGUUUUCAUUAAUCAAGAACGAAAGUUAGGGGAUCGAAGACGAUCAGAUACCGUCGUAGUCUUAACCAUAAACUAUGCCGACUAGGGAUCGGAUGAUGUUAAUUUUUUAAUGA
rnacentral:rRNA from 1 species